rnacentral:rRNA from 1 species
UACAGAGGGUGCGAGCGUUAAUCGGAAUUACUGGGCGUAAAGCGUGCGUAGACGGUCAAGUAAGUCGGGUGUGAAAGCCCCGGGCUCAACCUGGGAAUUGCCUUUAAGACUGCAUCGCUAGAAUUGUGGAGAGGUAAGUGGAAUUCCGAGUGUAGAGGUGAAAUUCGUAGAUAUUCGGAAGAACACCAGUGGCGAAGGCGACUUACUGGACACAUAUUGACGCUGAGGUGCGAAAGCGUGGGGAGCAAACAGG